rnacentral:lncRNA from 1 species
AGCACUUGCAUUCUUUUGUUUUAGUCUUCUUCUUUCUUCAUUUCCUUUCAAUAAAUCCAUGAAUGUUAUCAUGGUAUCAGAGCUACGGCUCUUGAUCUUGUGGACCUCUUCAUAUUUUUAAUCGCUUCCGCUUUUAUCAGUUUCAGUAGAUUCGAUUUAUCCCCAAUUUCUAACCCUAACCCCCAAAUUUGUUAUCUCCUGAAUCGUGAAGCCUCUGUCAUGGAUUAUCGCUCAAAGCUUGAGCAUCAUCUCAUCAUCCUUCAUCUAUGGUUCAGAGUUUUAUUGUCGCAGUUAUCGUUCGCUCAAGUUUGCUUCGUCGGGAGUCUAGUUUUGCUUGGUUCACUCAUCGGACACCGGGGAUCUGCGUUUUGAAUGGAAGUUGAUUCGGUAAUUCACUCAGUAAUACAGAAUCACGCUGUCAUCUCAGUGAACAUUUCGUCAAACACCUGGUGUGCGUUCUUUCAUCUAAUUCUCGAUGAAAUUCAGUAACACUAAAUUGUUUCCAUUAUACUUAGUGGAUAUGAUUUAUUAUUAUUGGUGUUUUCAUGUGUUGAUAUGGACAAAUUGAUGGAAUUGAUGGUCAUAUAUUGAUAAUUGUUGCUAUCUAGUUAUUUGGUGAGAGUUGUUUGUUGAAGAUGAUGAUGAUUAAUUAUAUCAGAGAGUUCAUGUUGUCUUGGAUUUUCUACUUAGGAUGAUUGAGAUGUUCAAAUCUGUGCGAAUCAUCUUUUGGUGUUAUAUGGCUGGGAGUUUCUAAUAUCAAUAUGAUCUGUUGUGGCAAAUUUUUGAGAAUGGAGAUGUCUAGUUUGUUAUGUUGCUUCCUAUGGUAUUAUGUCUUCUACCUGGAGUUUCUGAAUUGUCAUAUCUACCUGUAUUAUUGCCACAUUAUGCUGCUUAGUGAUGAAUGUUUGGUGACAUAAGGUUGAUGGUUGUUGUUUAGUGUUCUCCUACCGCAAAAAUGUUUGAGAUACAGACCCUGCAAUACAACAUAACUUUGGUGGUGGUAGUCUUUGUAAUGUAUGUGGAAUUGUAGAUAACUUUGGAGGUGGUGGCCUUCGUAGUUAUGUGGAAUUGUAGACAACUUUGGAGGUGGUGGCCUUCGUAGUUAUGUGGUAUUGUAGAAACAUAAUGGAGGUAGUAGCCUUCGUUUAUGUUUAUAGAAUUGUAAUAGAGGUGGUGGCCUCUGUAUAACAAACUUUAAAGAAAAUAUUGCAAUGAGUCACAACAAAGUUCAAAUUGGGUAGUAGAUGGAGACACAUUAGACAACAGCUUAGAAGUUUGGCAAUUAAUGCAGAAGUGUUUGAGGCAGAUUUCAUGUUGUGAGUAAUUCAGAAACAAAUCAUUUCUUCAUCUCUUAAAUCUGCUCCAGACUUUCUUAUUUGAGGUUUAGAGCUAGAAAAUCUUGAUUGGACACUAUUUGUGUUGAAGAUGGGACAUCACAUAUGGAGUACAAUGGCUACAAGGAGUAAUCAUCAAUUUUUGGACACUAUUUCUGUUGACGGGUUUCGUGGUUUGGCCUCAUGGCUGUAUAGAUAUAUGUCCUAAUUAAUCUACUGAUCAAUGAAAAUUCAGAAGCAGCCUACACAUAGUUCCUUUUUCUACUGUAGCCAAAGCACAAGUACAGAUGGCUCAAGAAACAAUAGAGAAAGUAAGAAACACGUUGGAUUGCUAGGUGGGAUUGAAAUGGAGCUCCUGGAAAUGCCUUCUUCUGAUCAUGAUUCAAGUAUAAUGGAUUUGCUGGGAUGUUCUUUGCAAUAGUUCCAUACGUUGUGUGUGUAUGAUUGUUGUGGCAGGGCUUUCUCUACAUCUGUUGAUUGCCAAGAACAAGGUUAUGGUAGUGCUUCAACUCAGAUUGGUCCCCUUUCAGUUUCUACAAGGCUUUGGCCUCUCUCUGAGCAUUAUAAUUCUUUUGGAGAACUGAAGGUAAUCAAGGCGGUCAAUAUUUGAUUGUGCUCAAUGGAGUUAUAAGUUCUGAUGGCACUAUAUGCAUUGAUCAUGGGGGUCGAUUUACAUUCUCAUUGAAGCUUAUGAUACUAUUGCUGGAAUGCCUUGAGUGAUGUUGCUUAUGUUGGCCAUUGAAGGAGAACCAGUCCUGCUGUUAUGAUGUAUUGCAACCAUUAUGCUUGAUGCCCAAGCAUAUGAUCGAGGGGGAGUGUUAGGAAUAUAGGGAUAUAUAUUUAGAAUGGUAUUUCAGUCUCUAGCAUAAUUCUCCUAUAUAUGUAGGAAUUGUAAUACUCUUUAGAUUAAUUAGAUCAUUCACAAUGUAGUCGAUAUCUCUCUUGCGUUCUUUUCUUUCAGUCUUCUUCUUUCUUCAUUUCCUUUCAAUAAAUCCAUGAAUGUUAUCAAAUCUAUCAUCUCCAUAAACACACUUCUGGAAAACAACAAGGGUAGAAGAACCAAAUUCUAAUGAACACUAAUCUUCUCCUCCAGUCGAUUAUUACCAUGCUUAGUAGGAAAACAAUAACUUUGGUGUACUAUUGCCAGCUUUUAUACAUGUCAUUUAUAUAUAUGGCCUUUAAAGUUGAUUUUACUGAUCCAGCUCUUUUACUUAGUGGAAGCGGAAGAAUCAUACAUAGUGCAGAGAGCUAUGUAAAAGAUGGUGAAGAAACAGUGCUGUACAGUUCAUAGAAGCACAUCUCUUCACUUUGCCUUACACUGAUUUCAUAAUAAGUACAAUACUUGAUGUCACCAUCGAUUGAUCGAUCUUACCCCAAUUGAAAUGAAAAAGUAUGCAAUUUGAUCGUUUUAGAAUGCACGUUUUAAGUGAAGAAAGCAAGCCAUGGAGUGUUAAUUGUAUCAACUUGGCACCUACGUAUCAAUGAGAAGAAUUUCGAAAAAUUUGUAAUAGAUAAUAACAUACAUCUGACCUCCAUUCUUGAAUGUUCAUGAUCUGUUUCGAUCUACAUAUUGUCACCACCUGAUAUAACAAAUGAUCAAGCUAGGGUUAGACAUAAAGUGGUAGAAGAAAGCACCUAAUCUUUUCUUUGAUGCAAACUAAUUUGUAAUUACAUUUCAUUAAUGGUUAAUAAUUAAGGAUCUAAAAUUUAGAAAAUUGAUCAAUGUGGUUAGUGUUCUACAGAUCGACCAGAUCGAUAAAUUCUAGAGACCAGUUAGUACUUUAUUCCGGUGGCCAUAUUGCAUUAUAUAUACCCAGUACUCCAGUAGGUAGAAAAUAUAUUUGGGUUUUGCUGUUUGG